GAUGAACGCUAGCUACAGGCUUAACACAUGCAAGUCGAGGGGUAACGAGAGGAAAGCUUGCUUUCCUUGUCGACGACCGGCGCACGGGUGAGUAACGCGUAUCCAACCUGCCCCCAACUAGGGAAUAACCUUGCGAAAGUAAGACUAAUACCCUAUAAUUUCCUCAGAUGUCAUCUGACGAGGAAUAAAGAUUUAUCGGUUGUGGAUGGGGAUGCGUCUGAUUAGCUUGUUGGCGGGGUAACGGCCCACCAGGGCAACGAUCAGUAGGGGUUCUGAGAGGAAGGUCCCCCACAUGGGAACUGAGACACGGUCCAAACUCCUACGGGAGGCAGCAGUGAGGAAUAUUGGUCAAUGGGCGGAAGCCUGAACCAGCCUAGUAGCGUGCAGGAUGACGGCCCUAUGGGUUGUAAACUGCUUUUAUACAGGAAUAAAGUUAGCCACGUGUGGUUAUUUGUAGGUACUGUAUGAAUAAGGACCGGCUAAUUCCGUGCCAGCCGCCGCCGUAA
rnacentral:rRNA from 1 species